rnacentral:tRNA from 1 species
GGGCCCAUGGUCUAGGGGUUAUGACGGUGCCCUUACAAGGCGCAGAUCACCGGUUCGAAUCCGGUUGGGCCCA